UACGAAGGGGGCUAGCGUUGCUCGGAAUCACUGGGCGUAAGGGGUGGGAAGGCGGGUUUUUAAGUCAGGGGGGAAAUCCUGGAGCUCAACUCCAGAACUGCCUUUGAUACUGAAGAUCUUGAGUUCGGGAGAGGUGAGUGGAACUGCGAGUGUAGAGGUGAAAUUCGUAGAUAUUCGCAAGAACACCAGUGGCGAAGGCGGCUCACUGGCCCGAUACUGACGCUGAGGCACGAAAGCGUGGGGAGCAAACAGG
rnacentral:rRNA from 1 species